rnacentral:tmRNA from 1 species
GGGGGCGCAAAGGUUUCGACGGAGAAGCUAAGGCUUUUAAGCUGCAUGUCGAGGAUGUCUUGUAGGCUCGUUAAACAUUCAAGGCACAAAUAUAAUCGCAGAAAACUACGAUUACGCUUUAGCCGCUUAAUCCCGGCUAACGUUCUUAAGGCUGAAACCUGUAGGUUUUAAGAACGACAUUUACAGGUCAGGAUAUUUAAAUAUCCUUUGUUUAAAUAUCUUAAAUUUUAGAGGACUGCUGAAAAAAGGUCUUGUUUAUUCUCGGCUUUUUAAGCGGAUGUUCUAAAGAAUAAAAUAAACAUGUAGAUGCUUGAGUUAAAGAUCUUCGGACGCGGGUUCGAUUCCCGCCGCCUCCACCA